rnacentral:rRNA from 1 species
CGGUCCGGCCGGGAACUCAAAGGAGACUGCCAGUGAUAAACUGGAGGAAGGUGGGGAUGACGUCAAGUCAUCAUGGCCCUUACGACCAGGGCUACACACGUGCUACAAUGGCGCAUACAAAGAGAAGCGACCUCGCGAGAGCAAGCGGACCUCAUAAAGUGCGUCGUAGUCCGGAUUGGAGUCUGCAACUCGACUCCAUGAAGUCGGAAUCGCUAGUAAUCGUGGAUCAGAAUGCCACGGUGAAUACGUUCCCGGGCCUUGUACACACCGCCCGUCACACCAUGGGAGUGGGUUGCAAAAGAAGUAGGUAGCUUAACCUUCGGGAGGGCGCUUACCACUUUGUGAUUCAUGACUGGGGUGAAGUCGUAACAAGGUAACCGUAGGGGAACCUGC